rnacentral:lncRNA from 1 species
UGGGGGACCAUUUUCCCUCCCGGUGCCUGGGGAUUUACAUCCGUAGCUCCCAUUAGCACUAAUGGGUGCUCCCCGCAUGCAAACUGCCCUCUCAUUGAUGGAGGAACAGACCCCCGAAUAAUGUUCUUGCUCCAUUUAUCUGGUGUUUGGAGAUGGACAGAGGGCUGCAUUAAUAGGGUUUUGAUAGCAUUGUGGUGCCAUUAUGCUAAUAGAGAUUUGUGUCAGCUAUUUUUUUUUUUUUAAGAGGGUCAUAAUUCUACUUUUAAAACUCUCUUUCGGCUGAAACAAAUUUUUUCAUAUUAAUUUUCGUUCUUUUUCUUUUUUGCCAACAAACGAUCCCCAUCCCCACCACACACAGAGGAAGUCAAUGGCUAUUUCACUCACUGGGCGGCAGUUGGUGCGUGAAGGCGAUUUUCACGUGGCUUGUUUGCCAGACAACCAUCCACCUGAUUUGCCCAGAGCUCAGGGCUCAGCUUCGGUCAUCCUCCCCCACGUGGCUCAGUCAGUCAUGAGCCUUAGAGGAGCCCUGUGAGGGAGGGGCCCGGGGGAACGUUCCCGUUGGCAUCUGAGGAGACCAAGGCCGAGAGGCGAAGCUUGAGAUUUUGUGGAAACGGGAGGCUGAAACCCACUUGCAUUGGAAAUCAGGUUUCUGAUUCCCAGGGCUGGUAGGCAUCUAGGAUCUCCAAGGCACGUUCCCCUCGAGCUUCUGAGGAGGGCUGGACGGCGCUCAUUUCCACCUGGGCUUCCAUGGUCCUGCUGAGGGCACAGCACACAGCGGUUUCCCAGGAAAUGUUUGGUGAGGACACUGAGAGCCAGGAGGUUGGGAAGCAUCCACCUUACCACUCAUGGCUGCUCAUAGCCACACACACUGCCUCGUAUGUAUGGACAUGAGCAUCUUGAGGGGGCCGUUGCUCACAUUUUCUGGCAGAGUCUGGUUCCAUGGCAUCUUCUCCAAACUCAGACUUCCGCCCUCUGCCCCCUGACAGCUCUAACCAGGUCCGAUGGUCCUGGUCGUCUAAGCCCUGGGACAGCUCUGACUCCCCUGCCCGCAUCAGGGGAGUGAAGGAGGGGUGACUCCCAUGGCCUCCCCUCCUGGACUCGUUCCCUCCCGGCCUGUGGUCCCCGUCCCACACCAUGGAACCAUUGCAACUACCCAUGGACUACCCUACACUGCAGCAGGCCCCCUAGUCCCUUUCUCGCAGCCAAAGACCUUCCAGACGUGGCAAGAAUGAGUGGCCACUGGCCUGUUAUGCAGCCGGAGCAUCACAUUCUAACAACCCCGCGGCCCCCCUUCUUCUGACCAUUGAAUUAUCUUCCUAGUUCUUUGUGCUUAUUGGAUUCCUCUUCUAAGUAUUUCUCCCCCAAUAAAAUCAGUUGCUUUUCUGGUCACAGAGGUCUAUGCACAGCAGUCUUCACUCCUCUUUGGUGCCUGGGCGGGGGUGGGUGGGUGGGGGGAGGCGUAAGGAGAUGAAGAGCCUCUCCUGGGGUGGGGGGUGGGAGGGAGGUGCUGCUUGGGCAGUUCGGAUGUUGGCAUCUGGCCAGGCCCGGAAGGCUGGCCCACUCCAGAGCCUCGAACACAGAUCCCCUGCUGAGUAGCAUGUUGAUGCCAGCAGACUGCCAGGCGGGCCCCCUGAUGUUUGUAAUACACAGAUCCGUAUCUGCAUUGUGAAGUUCCAUAUUAAUAUGAUGCUAAAUAGGGAUUCCGCCACUUGCCAGAGGGGGGGAUGGGGAAGCAGUGAACGAGGUCACCUGUAAAAAUGAGAGCCUCGGGACUGGCGCAGCAGCAGCCUUGCAGGUGACUGUUGGGCUGCAUUAGCAGUAGGAGGGGGGAGCCCCAGCAGCAUCUGCCUGCGUUAUUCUUGGUUCCGGCCCAGUGCCCCCUCUCUCCUCUUUCUCAUUGAAUUUGAUGCUUUAUGGAAGCCGCAACGUCAUAAAAAUAACACUCGGCUGCAUCCUUCACCCCGGGAUCUCAAAGCCCUCUACGGACAUGAAUAUUUAUCGCUAAGAAUCUGGGAUGUCGGUGGAGAAAUAUUAUCCCAAUUUUACAGAUGAGGAACUUGAGAUUGGGUGGUUAAGUGAUUUGGCAGAAGUUACUCCCUACCUACUGAGUGGUGGGGCCAUGUCCUGAGCCAGAUCCCAGAAAAGUCUUGGGAGCCCUUGGCAGAAGAGGAGAAUGGCCUUUGUUUAAAGGAAAGAAAAGCCAGUGUGUCCUAAACAGGCUGGAGGGAGGACGGGCAGGUGGUCUCACCUCCCCUCUCUGCCUCUGGUUCCCCUCUAUCAGACGGGAGGGAGGGGACUCUCAUGGCCGGUUGGGUUUUUCACGUCUCUGCCAACCUUUCCAAUUACAUCUGCCAGCUCCGAAUCCGCAGUUGGAGAGUAGUGAACAGUUUCAGCUACAGAACUUUCAGAAGGUCUGAAAAGGGCCCACUUGAGAGGAGGAACAUCCAUCAUGGUCAAGGACAAGGGGCCCUCUGGCAGGAAGGCCACAGAGUCUCUCUCUCUGUCUGGAAAGAUGGCGGCCAAGAGAUCAUCCGCCAAAUCGAAGGGGUCCUGAGGAUUCUAAGGAGGGUCCAGAAUUCUAGAACGAGGGGUAUAUUUUUUCUUCACCUUGGAAUUCUUCAGGAGGAAUAAAGGGUACUUCUACCUUUCCCUGUGCCAGUGGGAGAACUCCUGUGUCUGGAAAAAAAAAUACAUGGGUUUCAAAAAAGGCUGAAAGACAUUUAUAGAGGAGGCAUCCAUUUGGAAGGCACACACCUGACUAUUUGGGUUGAUACCAGGAGACGAUGCUGCAGUUUUAUUGUUCAGCACUUAGUGUCUGGCUACGGAAGAAAACGGAUAUUGAGGGUGGGAUGGUGCUUCCCUAAGCCUUUGCUAACCAUUUGUAAAGCUCUGACGAUGGGCCGUAGACUGUGUGGCACCAGGGAUCCAGAGCUGCCCAGGAUGACGCUUUUGCCCUGCCAGUGGGCGCCCCCCCAGGCUGGAGGGGGGAGGUAGACGUGCAGAUGAAUAAUUACGGGGUUGUGAGAUGAACUGCUGCAGAGACUGGUACCUGGUGCUGUGGGAGCACAGAGGAAGCGGUGAUUCCCGUCAGGGUAAUUCUCCUUGCAGAGUAUAUUCUUCCCAAACUCGCCUUGAUGAGGCUGGCACAUUUCUACCUCUUAGGCAUCAGAGGGUGGCCACCUGGUUCAUUGCAUCUGUACACCAAAGCUGUUCGGAAACACUUGAUCUAGCUCGUCCUAGCCUAUGGAAUUUUAGGGAGUGUCAAGAGUCAAGAGUUUCCUGCAGGUACCAGAAGAGUAUCCUGGCCACCUGUAGCGCAUGCUCAGUGCCAUUAGGGAAGCACAUCGAUGUUGCUCUCUUAGGGCUAAGUCAUGCUAUUUCGCUGCUUCCCAGGGCUUAAAUGUUGUAAGAAUGUCCUAGGAUAGGGUGUGCAAAGGGUGUUGUUAAUUGCUUGGAGUGUAAAUAGACGGUAGGAUAUGUUUAACAUCAUGGCAUAUUUGGUAGGGUCUGGGGUCCUGUGUGCCAGAGUCUUGACCAGACCUGCCAGAGUCAUAAUUUCUUCUUCCCAUGAAGUGCCUUACGAAGAUUACCUAGAUGACAAAGUAAAGAACCACAGGCACUUAAUAAUUGAGACUGUGGUUCCCCCCUCUCUGUCACGGUACUGAGGCAGGUAUGAUGGAGGAAGAGACUUCGAGUGGUUGAAUCAGCUUAUUGACUUUGCAUCUACGUUCUUGGGCAUCUUGGUCACUGUGACCUUUCUUUUGGAGGAACUAUGGCUCUGAAUUGAUGCUCACACAUGGAUGGCAUCCAGGACAGGCUUAGAGCUGAAAUAAAACCAAGAGAAAGGAAGCCAUUGAGGUCUCCUCAGUGUACGUAAUGUCCUCAACCACCUUCUCUUGGCCCAGCCAGCCAACCACGGCCCAGUAUAUGACCUUUUUGCCAAUCCUGUCUUCUCUUUGCAGCAAGUAUGUUGGCCCAUGAGUAUUUAUGGUGGUGAGGACAGUUGUGGGUGCUGGGAGGGAAAGAGGAUCUUUGUCUUCCUCUGGUGGUUGGCGUGCACCCCACGGAAGUAGCAACAGCAUGGCUGUUGCCAUAAGCUUUAUGCAGUUUCUGAGACACUUGUCUAGAAUUCCCUUUGACCAGACUUAUUGAGCUCAGUGAAACCUCUCCUGAGCUUCCUGCACGCAAGGAAUCAAGUCAUCAGGCUAAACCCAGAUGCUGGCCAAGGUGGCUGUUCUUCAUCAUCAUGAAUCCAACCUCUUGCAUCCGUUAAAGGCUAGAACAGUGAAAACUGGGCCAGGGUGUAGAGAAAGUUUAUCAGCACUUCAUUAACGUGGUGGUUAAGAGGGUGGCUUCUAGAAGGAGCUGGCUCUUGGUUGAAUUCCUUUAUAAUGUUUGGCACAUCCUGCAAGUCUUUGAUCUUUUUUUUUUUUCAUUUUUUUUAAGAUACAUAAAGCUGUUUAUGUCAUGAGAAUAACAAUGAGGACUGAGAGGAUUGCAUGGAUUAAAUUAACAUUGUAUGCAAAAUAUUUAGGGCUGUGCUCGGUUAUGUGGUAGGUGCCUUCAGGGGCUCAUCUGUAAAAUGGGGAUGCAUGUGAUUGGACCUCACAGGAUUUUUGUUAGGAUUAAAUGGCUGAUUUAUGGAAAACUCUGGGAUCUAGCAAUCACUCAUAAAUGUUAUUUUCUUAAAAUGUACUCACUGCUAUUACUUCUAUACAUUUAUUAUAUAAAGGUUUUCGAGGAAGACAUCCUAAAACACUGCCCUUUCCCCUUCACCUGGGAAAUAGAAAGACUUGAGAAGUCCACAUGGCCAUUGUGGUUAACUGAAAAGCUGAAAGCAUUUCCUUAAAAUCCCUUUUUUAAAAAUAUGUAUCUUUCUUCAACCUUAGAAAGACUUAAACAUUAAAAAUGCAAUCCUUGGGUGCUUUUGUUUUUAUAGUGAUUUUUUUGGUUUUGUUUUGGUGUUCCACAAAAGUGCUUUUAAAAAUAGCACAGCCCAGUAUUAGACAAAUGUUUAUCCGAUUAUAUAGGCCCAUCAACCAAGAGAACAUAAUAAGGUAGAGUUACUAGAUAUUCUAAAUGUGAAAAACAGGCAUAUUAAAAUGAAUGAAAAAUUAUAGGUGUUACUGCAGUAAGCUGCUUGUAAUAUCCUUUAACGGCAUAUAUUUCCUGAAAUUGUGCUCUGUGGCGGUUUGCUUACAAAAUGAAAGAAAUCCCAUCCAAGGCCUGCUUGUGUGGCAGUGCACAGAACCAGCCAAUACUUCCAACUUCUGUGCUUAUUUAUUGAACCCUUUUUUUUUUCUUUUCUUUUUCUUUUUUUUUUUGUAGGGCCGCACCCACGGCAUAAGAAGGUUCCCAGGCUAGGGGUCGAAUUGGAGCUGUGGUCUCUGGCCUACACCACAGCCACAGCAACGUGGGAUCCAAGCUGCAUCUGUGACCGGAUCCUUAACCCACUGAGUGAGGCCAGGGAUUGAACCUGCGUCCUCAUGAAUGCUAGUCAGAUUCUUUUUUCGCUGAGCCAGGACAGGAACUCCUACUGUAUCGUAUGUUUGUUUCCUUUUCUUUUUAACUUCCUGAGUGUAAGUCAGAUGAAGUUCAGUCUUUCUUGAUCUGGAUCUUCAGAGCUCAAAGCCACAUGUGCCUGGUAAAUCCAACAGUUUGGGAAGCAGCCCUGCAGCGAACCUUUCCGUAAGGGAGAUACUGGUGUUACCUGGUGCGGGGUGCAAGAGGAGGGUCUAAGGUGAGCUUGUGUGUGGUGAGGGUGCAGGUGCAGGUGCGAGGGGUGACUUCCAAAUUCACUCGUUCCAGAGUAGGGUCAUGAGAGGUGGGGACCUGGGUGAUUUUGGAAUUGCUGGGACUUUGAAGGAAUGGUCAUUUUAGGGUCAUGCUGUCUUAGUUUCUGUUGGCUGCUGGAAGUAACUUGGAAAAAAGGGAUAUUAUAGGAGUUAAAAAAAAAGCUGGGGACCCCACAGGGGAGGCUACAGGGAAAUCCCCCAGCAGGGUGCUCUCCCCAAUUGUGAGGGCAGGUGGGACCCUGGCGACACUUGACUGUCGUUUUGCAUCGGAAGUCGUCUUGAAGAUGCCAUUAUGCUUUUCAAGGAAGUGACCCCUGUCAAGAAUGUGUGGCAGCCACAGCUGUGCCCAGGACAGGGGGCUGGCGCGGGAUGAGCGCGAGUCCACAGUCAAAUGCAGCUGGCCCUUUGGAAGAGGAGAGACAUUGGUGGCUGUCCUUCCUGUCCUCACCCCUGCACCGAGGAACACCUCGUGAGACACUCGGGGUGCUUGUCAAUAAGAUGAAUGGCUAAGUAUGAAGUUUGAAAACUGCUGGCUCUUUACUGCUCGGAAGCAGUUCGCAUAGCCUUUGUCAUAGGGAUAGCGCAUUCCGAGGUCCACGUGGGGGAGCCUUAAGCCUCCAACAUUGCAAUUUCCAGCUAAAUAAAGGGUAUCUGGGUGGAUUUGCCUCGAUACAUUGGAUAAAUUCUGAGGAAAGUCCUGUAAUCCAUGAUGCUGGGGAGGCCAGCUGCUGUUUCCCUUGUAAAGGUCAGGAUAGCAUUGCAUUAAAUUUUUUUUUUUUUUAAUUUUUUGCUCCCGGUAACUCAUGAUGUGUUUUGUUGAGAGUUUGCUCCUUGGAUGGCACAGGUUGGCAUGUUCUCUUUGGUUGAAGUGGUGGAGCCUGAUGGGCAUAAGCUUGGAAAAGUGCUUAGGAAGAGAUCUUUUGUUGGGUUUUAAUUCUAAAACACAAUAAGAAACCACAUCCAACAAUCACGCCUCCCACCACACGAACAUGUAAUUAACUUUCCUUCUUCUCUCUGGUCAACUAUGUCCCAGGCCUUUCCAGUCCUUGGUGGGUACUCUCACCUGCUGUUUUAUCACCAUCCCCUCAGCUGUUCUUUGCAUUAGUUGCCCUGGCCUCAUCCCUUUUUUCCCUUUCCCCAGUUCACUGUUUAUCUCAUCAUCAGGAGGAAAGGGCGGCAGAAUCCAUGUCUUCCCAUCAAUGGGGUGGGAAAGGGGGCCCCUAAUCUGGGCUCGUUUGUGAGGGUGUCGGUGGCAGAGGCGAAUCAGCCUGCCGAUUUCAGGAGGCCCUGUUUCCAGCGGCUUCUACCAGAGAUCAUGCAGAGUGCCAAUUACAAUUGAUUUCUCCAUAAAACGGUGUUCAACCUUCCCCAACAGCAUCCGAGACAGAAAUGACAGACAACUGUGAAGGACUGUCUCCCUUUUAAAAUUUUAUUUUGUGGAGUCAAUUUCAUUCUUGCAGGUUUAUUAUCAUUAUUAGCCUUGGACGAUGAGGCGCUCACCUCAAUUGGCCUUCCUACUCGGGAGAAAUCAGGCAGAGUCAGCCCUGGAAGGGUGGGAGUGAUGGGCCAGUCUCCCCCCCCACCCCCCUUCCGCGGCUGUUGUUCCAGGGCAGGCUUCUCAUUGGGUGCCCGGAGAGACGCCCCUAAGAUCUGAAAGUGCAGGGAGUUUGCUGCGUGUGUUUGGAGUCACGUGUUCAGAAUCUAAUGGGCUGUUUAUAGCCGAUUGCUGGGUCCCUUCUCUCCAAUCAAUCAAGCUCCUCUCUCUUUCUCUCUCUCAUUUUCAUACACGUGCACCCCCGCUCCGCUUCCGCCUUCUGCCCAGAGCUCAUUGCUUUGGGAACCAGCCACCAACCCACCUAAUUAAAACACGUCUUUCCAGUUGCUGGAGCGACUGCCCCAGUGCUGCUUCACCACCGCCACGCUGGGCCCGCUUAGCUCCUACCUGUGUGUCCGCCACAAGGGCUCCUCUGUACAAAAGAAGUCCGUUGAUUUAGCGUUGCUUUGCCUUCUGAGGUGGAAAGCGGGCAUCGUUUUCCCAGGAAACCAACUUCUUCUAAGGAGGAGAGAUGUGUGCUCAGCGCCUUAGGAUCGCAUCACUACCGCCACCUCCGCUGCCACCUUGACCAGCGGCUCAACAUUGACUGAACCAUCGCUGUUGGGCGGGCCCUCUGCCAAGGGCUGUUUCUUUUUUCCUUGCAAUCAUUCUGAUUUACGUCAUUGUUUCCCCUGCCCAGCUGGCUGUUUCCAUGGCUUAAAACAACAACGGCAACAACAAAAAACAAAACAACACACAACUAUUUUAACCAUUAACUGUAUUUUAAGUGAUGUUAGGUGCCUUCGCGUUUGCUGUGCAGCCUUCACCUCCAUCCAUCCCCAGAACUCUUUUCAGCUUGCAAACCCGGACCUCUAUACCCAUUAAGGAUAGUUCCCCAUUCUCCUUUUCUCCAGCUCCUGGGGACCCCAUUCCACUUCCUGUGAAUUGGACUUGUCUAGGUAUCGCAUGUAAGGGGAAUCAUGUAGUAUGUGUCUUUUUUUUUUGUGACUGUUAUUUCCUUUAGCAUAAUUUCCUCUAGGUUCAUCCAUAUUGUAGCGUGUGUCAGAACUGCCUUUCUUUUAAAGGCCAAAUAGUAUCCCACUGUGUGUGGAUACUACCGUUUGCUUAUCCCUUUAUCUGUUGAUGGACACUCCAUCGCUUCCACGUCUUGGCUGUUGUGAAUAAUGCUGCUAUGAACAUAGAUGUAAAAUAUCUCUUCGAGCUCCUGUUUUCAGUUCUUUCGGGUGUACACUCAGAAGGGGAGUUACUGGAUCAUAUGGUAGUUCUAUUUUUCGUUUUUCUAGGAACUUCUGUAUGGUUUGCCACAACAGUGGCACCUUAUUACAUUUUCACCAACAGACCACCUGGCUUCCAGUUUGUCCACAUCCUGGCCAAGACCUGUUAUUUUCUGCCUUUUUGAUAGUGGCCAUCCUCCUGGGUGCAAGGUGACAGCUUAAGUACUUUAUGUAUCUCAUAACCACCCUGUGCAGUUGGCAGUUAUUAUUUUCCUCAUUUGAAAGAUCUGAAAAUUGAACUUAAAUGUUCUCACAAAAAAAGGUAAACAGAGGGAGUUCCCUUUGUGGCUCAGUGGGUUACAAACAUGACCAGUAUCCAUGAGGAUGAAGGUUCCAUCCCUGGCUCACUCACUGGGUUAAGGAUCCUGUGUUGCCACAAGCUGCAGUGUAGGCUACAGACACAGCUCAGAUCCCAAGUUGCUGUGACUGUGGUGUAGGCCGGUAGCUGCAGCUCUGAUUGGAUUCCUAGCCUGGGAAUUUCUGUAUGCCCC